UACUCGACCACACCACUCUACCUUGAAGUCGAGUAUCACCAUCACCACCACUCGACUACAUACUCGAUUGCAAGCUUCAGAGUCUUCUUCAUUCUGCACUCAACCAGACACUCGAGCACAAGGAAGAAAAGAAGACUCCAGCUAUUCACUCGACCUCCCACUCGACCACAUGGGUCGAGUACAGUUCUUAAUCCGUCCCUAUACUUCAUCGUUUUGAGUAUAAGGGUUUCAUGUACUUCACAUUUUCGCACAUUUGGCUAUAAGUAGCAUGUACUUCACAUUUUCGUAGAAAAGUUUUUAUCUAGUUUUAUUCUGCAGACCUUGUGUUCUAGACCUUUUAUAAUCCGGAUUUCUCUUUAUCUAUUCAGUAUUCAGCUUUUGUUCUUGAUUUCGUUUACUGUUGUUCAUUCUGUUAUCAUCCUGCUUUUACACUGUUGUUAUCAUGUUUUCAACUUGUUCAACGUCUAUGCUUUCUGUUAUGAUGUCUGAGUAGUGAAUAGAUUUCUGAGGAUGGGUUAGAGUAGUGUAGAAUUCUCAGUAUGCUAGGUGAUUGAGUAUUGGUUGAUAGAUCCCUUCUGGAUUAGUUGUUCUUAAUGCCUAUUGCUUUCUGAUGAACUGGAAUUUGAGCCCAGACAUUUCCGCGCCCAAAAGGUGUUCGAUGAAAUGUCUGAACCACUAAUUCCAGAGAUUCGUGACCCUGUACCAAGGUAUUGGUUGCAGGGAGCGUUUUGGCUUUAACUUGUUGAUUCUAUACUCGAUCAUAUCCUUAGAUUUUCUAAUAGCAUUUCCGGGUUUUCCGGAAAUGGUUUUUUGAUCUUGCAUCGGUUCUUAGUCUUCUCCUUGGAUACAAAGUUUCUCCCGAGCCGGGUUAAGUUGGUCCUUGGGUCGCGGUCGGGCGGCUCGUCUCCUGGAGAUACGCCUGAGCCGGAUGACGUUUACCUGAGGCAUUUCGAGAUCCGCUUCAGGAUGGUUCUCUGAAAUGACGCUCGAACUGUUUCAAGGUCAGAUCGGGAUAACUCCAUAACAACGUCCGAGGCGUUUCAGGGUCGGCUCGGGAUGGCUCUUUGAAGUGAUGCCAGAGACGUCUUGGGGCCGGCUCAGUGUGGUCCUUUGAAAUGAUGCCCGAGCCAACGAUCUUGGCCUUAGGCAUUUCCUCUGGUCGGCUAGGUUACUUGGGUAAAAUCUGACCCCAACAGUUUGCCCCCCAGCUUUUUAACUUUGGCGGGAAAGGCGAUGAGCUUCAUGAGUGGAUAUCCGAGCUGACUAUUCAUCUUCCCAAGUCGUGACCUUGUCGCUUAAUCUUCCUGGACGGUCAAACUUUCGUUGCAUGUAGCCGACUCUUUCUUGAGAAGUGGAAACAUUUUUGGCUUAUUCCCGAGGGUCACGCAGACGUUUCUCUUUCUGCCAAGCCCACGCGCUUCUAACGCGUUUCAUCAUUUAUUGCGGACCCAACGCGCCUUUAAAAAUCUUAUAUAUAGCGAGCCAUCCCUUUGAGAAUUUCUCAUU
rnacentral:sRNA from 1 species